AAUAAACUAAACAAUAAUUAUUACUUUUUCCACCAGCCUACUAGUAUCCAUGAGGGUUCAUAGGGAUGUUCCCGCUACACGCGAACCAUUUUCUUUAACAAUCUCAAUUACGGGUCGUCUUCAUACUCCGUCUGGUAUGAGUGCCAAAUUAUUAAAUUUCAAUACCCCGUCCGGUAUGAGGGUAAAGUGGGUCGUUCCCAUACCCCGUUUGGUAUGAGUACUAAAUUAUCUUGUCUCCAUACCCCAUACGGUAUGAGACAAU
rnacentral:lncRNA from 1 species